CGGGGUGAGUAAUGUCUGGGAAACUGCCUGAUGGAGGGGGAUAACUACUGGAAACGGUAGCUAAUACCGCAUAACGUCGCAAGACCAAAGAGGGGGACCUUCGGGCCUCUUGCCAUUGGAUGUGCCCAGAUGGGAUUAGCUAGUAGGUGGGGUAACGGCUCACCUAGGCGACGAUCCCUAGCUGGUCUGAGAGGAUGAUCAGCCACACUGGGACUGAGACACGGCCCAG
rnacentral:rRNA from 1 species